UAGGGAAUCUUCCACAAUGGACGCAAGUCUGAUGGAGCAACGCCGCGUGAGUGAAGAAGGUUUUCGGACCGUAAAGCUCUGUUGUUGGUGAAGAAGGAUAGAGGUAGUAACUGGCCUUUAUUUGACGGUAAUCAACCAGAAAGUCACGGCUAACUACGUGCCAGCAGCCGCGGUAAUACGUAGGUGGCAAGCGUUGUCCGGAUUUAUUGGGCGUAAAGCGAGCGCAGGCGGAAGAAUAAGUCUGAUGUGAAAGCCCUCGGCUUAACCGAGGAAUUGCAUCGGAAACUGUUUUCUUGAGUGCAGAAGAGGAGAGUAGAACUCCAUGUGUAGCGGUGGAAUGCGUAGAUAUAUGGAAGAAUACCAGUGGCGAAGGCGGCUCUCUGGUCUGCAACUGACGCUGAGGCUCGAAAGCAUGGGUAGCGAACAGGAUUAGAUACCCUGGUAAUCCAUGCCGUAAACGAUGAGUGCUAAGUGUUGGGAGGCUUCCGCCUCUCAGUGCUGCAGCUAACGCAUUAAGCACUCCGCCUGGGGGAGUACGACCGCAAGGUUGAA
rnacentral:rRNA from 1 species